UUUGUCCCCUAGGGAGGGGAUUUAUCAUCUAUAUCUCAUGCAGUGCCAAGUGCUCAAGAAACGAUGAAUAAUAAUAACGCUCAAAAGAACUGACUGGACCAACACAGCAAGAAAGCCACACUGUCCCUAAUUAGGAUUCCACUGUAUGGACGGACCACAGUUUGUCUAUUGUUCACCUACUUAAGGACAUUUUGGUUGCGGAGAUUAAAUACCCAGAGAGGAGCUGUUGAGUCAUAAAGGACUUCCACUACAAUAUUCAGUAGGAAUGGUGAGAAUGGACAUCCUUGUUUGUUCCUGAUCUUCGAAUGGAAGAUUUGGGCUUUCACAUUAAAUUUGCCCUGAGCUAACAUCUGCUGCCAAUCCGCCUCUUCUUUUUCUGAGGGAGACUGGCCUGAGCUAACAUCCGUGCCCAUCUUCCUCUCCUUUUAUAUGUGGGACGCCUACCAUGGCAUCGCUUGACAAGCUGUGUGUAGGUCUGCACCCAGGAUCUGAACCAGUGAACCCUGGGCCGCCGAAGCAGAACGUGUGAACUUAACCACUGCACCACUGGGCCAGCCCCAACCCUUGUCUUUUUAAGCUAUCAUUAUU
rnacentral:lncRNA from 1 species